rnacentral:rRNA from 1 species
GAUGAACGCUGGCGGCGUGCCUAAUACAUGCAAGUCGAGCGAACAGACGAGGAGCUUGCUCCUUCGACGUUAGCGGCGGACGGGUGAGUAACACGUAGGUAACCUACCUAUAAGACUGGGAUAACUUCGGGAAACCGGAGCUAAUACCGGAUAAUAUUUCGAACCGCAUGGUUCGAUAGUGAAAGAUGGCUUUGCUAUCACUUAUAGAUGGACCUGCGCCGUAUUAGCUAGUUGGUAAGGUAACGGCUUACCAAGGCAACGAUACGUAGCCGACCUGAGAGGGUGAUCGGCCACACUUGAACUGAGACACGGUCCAGACUCCUACGAGAGGCAGCAGUAGGGAAUCUUCCGCAAUGGGCGAAAGCCUGACGGAGCAACGCCGCGUGAGUGAUGAAGGUCUUCCGAUCGUAAAACUCUGUUAUUAGGGAAGAACAAACGUGUAAGUAACUGUGCACGUCUUGACGGUACCUAAUCAGAAAGCCACGGCUAACCACGUG